AAUGACUUCGAUGAGCAGAUGAGAAGACAAUGAUCAGCAUUUCGCAUUUGGUCGGCAGCCGGGACACGCACACGCAAAUCAGUUGUGUCUAUUGCUACACAGCGAAAAAUAGAAAACAUGAGCCCGCUACAAAAGAACUGGAGACCCGAACCCCCAAGAGCGACUAGGAAAAUCAGUAAAGUGACUAAGACUAGUAAACGAACUAAGCGCACUAUCUAGUGGGCUACCCUCUACAAUUUGGCCUUUGGUGGUGUCGAUGAUGUGGGUGGUGGCGGAGAAGCCUCCGCCGUGGGAUGAGCCUCCUCCAGGGGCAAAAGGUUGCCCAAAGCAAAGAUAUUCUUUGGAUCGAGAUGCCGCUUGGCCGCAGAGUACAGUGAACUGCCCGUUUCGGUGACGGCGUUGCGGUACCAAUGGCUUCGUAUCUUUCCCACGCCAUGGUGAUGGGACAGUGAUCCGCCGCAGGACAGUAUCUCAUCGCGGGCACUGUGCUCGAUGGCCUCGAAAAGCUCGACGGGAUCGGCCACGUCCGUACUGCGGAAUCCAAAGUAGAAGUAGAUGCAGGCACCGGCGUCGUAGGUUUGGGUUACUCUACACGAAAUGGUGUAGUAGUUAAUACUACGUUUGCUGCACUCCUGUAAUGAUCAAGAUUAUAGUUAUUGGAUGUUUUAAUGAAUAAUUGAAAUAUAGCACUUACCGAAACAACACGCUGCUUCACCGAACGACAGAGCAGACUGCAGCGAUCCCAAGGCACCGAUGUCUCAAAGGACUCCGCCACAAUUCCCUGAUGGAGUCCGAAGUCCUGCAAAAAUAUAUAUGAACAUUAAUGUUAUAUUAAUUUGGUCUUGAAUUAAUAAGUUUACUAAUUUAGUACUGACUGUGUUGACAAGUUUGCCAAUUAUUCUUAUAUCAGUUACAGAUAAAUGAUGUUAAUUAUUUCCAUAUUAGCGCUGAUAUAAAAAAAGGCAGAUUAGGUAGGGUUAUCAUAUAGUCUGCAAUCGAUCGAAAUGAAAUAUGUUUAUUUGGGCAACCUAGAAGCUAAAAUCAUUCUAGCACACGUCUCGAAAACCAAAUACCAAUAAUAAAUAAAAGUAGGGAAACGUAAAGCCGGAAAACCGGAAAUAGCACAUUGUCAUAAAGAUAA